rnacentral:rRNA from 1 species
AGCGACUGAUUAGAAGCUUGCUUCUAUGACGUUAGCGGCGGACGGGUGAGUAACACGUGGGCAACCUGCCUGUAAGACUGGGAUAACUUCGGGAAACCGAAGCUAAUACCGGAUAGGAUCUUCUCCUUCAUGGGAGAUGAUUGAAAGAUGGUUUCGGCUAUCACUUACAGAUGGGCCCGCGGUGCAUUAGCUAGUUGGUGAGGUAACGGCUCACCAAGGCAACGAUGCAUAGCCGACCUGAGAGGGUGAUCGGCCACACUGGGACUGAGACACGGCCCAGACUCCUACGGGAGGCAGCAGUAGGGAAUCUUCCGCAAUGGACGAAAGUCUGACGGAGCAACGCCGCGUGAGUGAUGAAGGCUUUCGGGUCGUAAAACUCUGUUGUUAGGGAAGAACAAGUACGAGAGUAACUGCUCGUACCUUGACGGUACCUAACCAGAAAGCCACGGCUAACUACGUGCCAGCAGCCGCGGUAAUACGUAGGUGGCAAGCGUUAUCCGGAAUUAUUGGGCGUAAAGCGCGCGCAGGCGGUUUCUUAAGUCUGAUGUGAAAGCCCACGGCUCAACCGUGGAGGGUCAUUGGAAACUGGGGAACUUGAGUGCAGAAGAGAAAAGCGGAAUUCCACGUGUAGCGGUGAAAUGCGUAGAGAUGUGGAGGAACACCAGUGGCGAAGGCGGCUUUUUGGUCUGUAACUGACGCUGAGGCGCGAAAGCGUGGGG